AUGUUUCCUCGCAGGAACGGCACCCCGCAGCUUCUCCUCCUUCUCUACGCCUGCUGCUUGCUCCUCUCUUUUCGGCUUGAUGCUCCUGGGCAUGUCGCCGCCGCGUUGUCACCCAUCUCCUUCAGCUUUGACUUCACCAACAAGACCUCGUACAACCCACAAGACCUUCAUUUUGAGGGUAACGCGACCGUGAACGGCGGCCUGGUCGACCUCACCGCCGUCGAGGCAACGAAAUUGUUAGACUGCACGGGGCGGAUGUCGUACAGGCGCCCCGUGCCGUUCUACGACAACAACACCGGCGUGGUGGCGAGCUUCGUCACACGGUUCACCUUCAAUAUCAAGCUCCUGCCUGGACGCAUGAAAGGGGACGGCAUGGCUUUCUUCCUCGUCAGCUACCCGUCAAAACUGCCGCAGGACUCGUACGGCGGAGCCUUCGGCCUUUUGAACGGUAGGACGAGGGACGCCGUAGGCGAGAAUCGGUUCGUCGCUGUGGAGUUCGACACCUAUAGCAACACCAACUUCGACCCUCAUGAAACCAUGGACCACAUCGGGAUUGACCUCAGCUCCGUCAUAGACUCGGUUAACACGACGAGCCUGCCCAACUUCAGCCUGAAUGGGACGAUGACGGCGUCCAUCAAUUUUACCAGCAGCACCCGGAUGCUGGUCGCUAGACUGCACUUCGAUGACCGUCCCUCCAUGCAACCGGCUGAAGUCAGCGCGCAGUUGCUCAACCCAACCACGUUGCUCCCCGCGGAGGUGGCGGUGGGGAUCUCCGCGGCCACCGGCACAGGCGUGGAGCUCCAUCAGAUACUAUCAUGGUCCUUCCACUCCACGCUUGUUCCAAAGGAACCAAUAUCCAGAGGAGAAAAUCAGGAACGCUCUCGCCCGACCCGCUCCCACAAGCGGGAGAGCGCCACUGGGCAAAGCCCUGUCGGUGUAGGGCGUUUCCUCGCCCCUCCCGCAUUGGUGUGUGCAGCGUGGGCAGCCGCAUCUGCCCAGGGGCGCGGCGGCAACGAGUCGGUCCAGCGCGUUGGUGGCGUGGCGGAGGACAGGGCUGCGGAUGCGUGGCAGUGCGCGCUCGGCGGGCCUUCGGUGGUCUGGCGGCGGCGGCUCGGCAAGCAAGGCGUCAGGAGCGGCGCGGGCUGGGGAGAUCGCGGCUCUGCCUCCGUGCGGGUAUCUACCGGCGGCGGGUGUGGGACUGUGGGCUGCGGCCACAUCCAGGAGGCCGGUGGCGGAUCCGAUCGGGGCUUGGGCACGGUGUGGGGCGCUGCUCGUGGUCGUCUGCUCCCUGGACGGUCGUGGGUGCUCCUGGUGACCUUGGUGGGCGUAGGGCUGGUCGUGGCAGGGGUCUCCCCUAUCCCAAUUUGUGGCGGGGUGGUGGUGGCGCCUCUCUUCUUCCUGGUUCUUGCCGGCAACAUGGGUUGCUUGUGCGGCCGGACGGCCAUGAUUGGGAGCUCAUGCUCAGGCGGACCAGGUUUGGUCCCGGGAUGGUUCGGAGCUUCGCUCCGGCUAGACGAUGGUGGGCUCGGUGUAGGGGGUGCCCGCGGGAAUCACGGUCCUUGGAUUUGUGCAGAAAAAGCAUCACGAGGAGUGCAGCUGUUCGAUGCAGUGUCAUUAGCAGGAGGUGAUGUCUUGUCUGCAUGGCUACAGCGUUAUGUCAUAUCCCUACUCCCUAGGCUCUCUGCUGCAACAGUGAAAGACAGAGAAAGAGUGGGACAAAUCUAG
rnacentral:rRNA from 1 species